GACGAACGCUGGCGGCGUGCUUAACACAUGCAAGUCGGACGGAAAGGCCCUGCUUUUGUGGGGUGCUCGAGUGGCGAACGGGUGAGUAACACGUGAGUAACCUGCCCUUGACUUUGGGAUAACUUCAGGAAACUGGGGCUAAUACCGGAUAGGAGCUCCUGCUGCAUGGUGGGGGUUGGAAAGUUUCGGCGGUUGGGGAUGGACUCGCGGCUUAUCAGCUUGUUGGUGGGGUAGUGGCUUACCAAGGCUUUGACGGGUAGCCGGCCUGAGAGGGUGACCGGCCAUAUUGGGACUGAGAUACGGCCCAGACUCCUACGGGAGGCAGCAGUGGGGAAUAUUGCACAAUGGGCGGAAGCCUGAUGCAGCAACGCCGCGUGCGGGAUGACGGCCUUCGGGUUGUAAACCGCUUUCGCCUGUGACGAAGCGUGAGUGACGGUAAUGGGUAAAGAAGCACCGGCUAACUACGUG
rnacentral:rRNA from 1 species